AGCAUAUUUGGGUUUUAUAUUACGUGUAUUGGGCUUGGGUUCUACCCGUAGCAGUAGGGGAUUUCGUGGAGCCUAUAUAAAAUGGGACCACAUUCCCUCCAUUAUUUAAAUCUGGGAAGCCCAGUUACUUUCGGUUGCUGCUCGUUGCUUUUCCAAAUUCCACUCUCCCACACAGUUUUAACCCCUUUCAGCUUCUCUCCAGGUUGUCGUAUCCACAUGAAUGAUGUUGGAAUUUAUGCCGUUUCCAUGUCGGAGCUAAUUUGUCAGUGUGUAUAUCUACAUAGGUAAUUAUCUUUAAGUUUAUUAAUUAUGUUUGAAGUUGAUAAUUACUUAGGGAGGUUAACAUGAGGUGAAGGUCAACUUAUUUUUAUUUGUAUUUUGAGACUCAACUUCAUAUAUAAACGUAUAGAUUCUUAGUCAUCAGCCUGUAGGUGCCAAAGAUAAGCUAUUAUGGACAGAUGCAUAUUGGAUCGAUGAAAGGUUAAACAUAUUGGUUUGAUUUGGGUUGUAUCUUUGAAAGUUCUUAGCUUAGACAACCCCAGCCCUGUAUAUUUUCUCAACCUGGUUUUUUAAAGCUUGAAGAUUUUCCUUUUGGAGUAAAUAAAGUUUGAAAUUUUCAAUCUUAACUUGCACAUAAUGGAUUGGAUUAGUUUCGAGUUGCACAUUUAAGGGAGUAAGGGUGUUUGGUUGCUUGGUGUUUGUGGCUUGAUAAGGACUGGCCUUCCCCCCUUCUUGAUCAAUGGAGGAGGUUGGAUUCUUGGGGUGGCUGAGUUUGUCACAGGGCGGUAUGCUUGGUUGGAUGGGGUUUGGGGUGCAUGAAGGAGCACCUUGGUUUUUAUGUGGUGCACUGUUUCGGGACUCUAGGUUGACUUGGGAGGGGCUUGUUCUGACUUUUUUGGGGAGAUUCUGGCUCGUUUCUGUGCUUGCUGUCAUGUUCUUUGUUGUUGAAGGUUCUUGGUUUUUGAGCACUCCUUGCUUCGAUUUUGUGGAGCGUUGGGAACUUCUUUGACGCCUGUGGAUUUGGAGGUUUUGCUUUGGUUUUUUAUUCCUGUUUGGCUGAGGAUUUUGAGUUGACCACCUUUCUUUGUGGCGAAUGUGAGGCUUCAGUCCUGAAUCCAUCAUGGUUGGAAGCCUUCUUUACGACUCUGCUCAGGCUGUUUUGUUUCCUUUGUCGUCCUCAUGUGGAUUUCUUUUUGAGGAGGCUCUUUGUUGUUUUCUAUUUUAGUUUGUUCCUGUUGAUUAUGUAGAAUUUCUUUUCACCUUGUUUUUGUAGGACUUUUGACCUGGUUUAGACUUUGAAACGGUAUAGGCUCUAAUGGCUUAUUGUCUAAGCGAUUUUUGUGAAUGUACAGUCUUCUUUGCCCUUAUCAGGUUUGCUAUGCCAUUAGAGUCUCUAGCCUAAAAGGCUUAAGACUUGCUAUGGCAUCACGGAUAAAGGAGGAAUAAACGAUCAUCUUUC